AUUAAACGCUGGCGGCAGGCUUAACACAUGCAAGUCGAGCGGAGAUGAGGUGCUUGCACCUUAUCUUAGCGGCGGACGGGUGAGUAAUGCUUAGGAAUCUGCCAUUUAGUGGGGGACAACAUUCCGAAAGGAAUGCUAAUACCGCAUACGUCCUACGGGAGAAAGCAGGGGAUCUUCGGACCUUGCGCUAAAUGAUGAGCCUAAGUCGGAUUAGCUAGUUGGUGGGGUAAAGGCCUACCAAGGCGACGAUCUGUAGCGGGUCUGAGAGGAUGAUCCGCCACACUGGGACUGAGACACGGCCCAGACUCCUACGGGAGGCAGCAGUGGGGAAUAUUGGACAAUGGGCGGAAGCCUGAUCCAGCCAUGCCGCGUGUGUGAAGAAGGCCUUUUGGUUGUAAAGCACUUUAAGCGAGGAGGAGGCUACUAGUACUAAUACUACUGGAUAGUGGACGUUACUCGCAGAAUAAGCACCGGCUAACUCUGUGCCAGCCGCCGCCGUAAGAC
rnacentral:rRNA from 1 species